UGAACGGGUAAAGCGGAUGCGGCUGCAGUUUGGAGAUUUCCUGGGGCCGUCCGCUCUGGUCGAACUUGGAGAAGCUCCAGAAAGCUUUGAUUUCGCCUCGUCUCUGGCCGUAAAUGACGUCACCCGACACGGCCACCUCCAAGCCCUCGCCCAGAUUGUCCAGGAUGCGCUGGGUCAGCUUGCCUUGGGUUUGAUCCUUGGUGAAGGGUCUUGGCAGGGAGACCAGAGACAGGCCCGAUUCCUGGUCCACCUGCGUCUCCACCUGUUCGGGCCUGAAGGGCCGCCGCACACCGAGCAAUGCGGCUAAAUGUGACUGAAUUGGACUAUCGCGAAAGGAUUACAGAAUCUUGGCUGUACACCAAGCGAUUGAGAACUGCACAUCAACUGACGGGCUGCAAACUCCCGCCAUUGGAUGCGCCGGUUGCCCAGGCGACCCGGUUUCGCCGACUGCACCCUCCACCGCGACUGGACACGGCUGUUGCCACGGCAACGCGCGACCGCCUAUCACGAGCUGGUGCUGCGGCUCCUGUUGCUCGGGAGGGAGCGCAAAGGCUGCUGCUUCCUCUGUGGGGGAAAAGUUGGGAGGAAUUGAGCAAGUUUGCAGUGCAAGCGCACAUCGGAAGUUCCUCUUCCACACCGAGGGCUCUCCAUGGAUGCGGCCGUUGCCGCUCACCUUUGCCCAGGCCUACGGCACAGAAACAGACACGCGCAAAUAGCCUCAAUACACAGAAACGACUGUUCGGGAUGCUGCUGUGUUCAGAAUUAACCAGUAACAUUCAAACACAUGUUAAAUGGAAGUCAACAAAUACCCCAAAUAAAGUUCAACUGCUCUGUUAGACUUUUCCUAACAUUUUCUGGGGCUUGUCGCUUUGUGCUAAUGCUGCCAUUUGGAA